rnacentral:rRNA from 1 species
AGAACGAACGCUGGCGGCGUGGAUAAGACAUGCAAGUCGGACGCGAUUUAUCCGGUUAGCAAUAACUGGGUAGAUUGAGUGGCGAAAGGGUGCGUAACACGUGGGAAUUUACCAAGAAGUGGGGAAUAGCUCGACGAAAGUCGAAUUAAUACCGCAUGUGAUCGUAAGAUCAAAGCCGGGGACCGCAAGGCCUGGCGCUUUUUGAGAAGCCCGCGGCCCAUCAGCUAGUUGGUGAGGUAAUGGCUCACCAAGGCUAUGACGGGUAGCUGGUCUGAGAGGACGACCAGCCACACUGGAACUGAGACACGGUCCAGACACCUACGGGUGGCAGCAGUCGAGAAUUUUUCACAAUGGGGAAACCCUGAUGGAGCGACGCCGCGUGGAGGAUGAAGGUUCUUGGAUUGUAAACUCCUGUCACUGCAGAACAAGGAUACGCCAGUUAACAGCCGCGUAUUGAUGGUAUGCGGAGAGGAAGGGACGGCUAACUCUGUG